GUUUAUCCAUAUUAUCUUAUUUGUUAUUGCUUGAUCGUAAACUUUAUAUAUUGCUUGAUUAUCCUGGUUGUGCUGCUCAUGUGUGGCUUGUGUGGUCGCCCCAAUGCAGGUUUAAAUCGGCGUGUAAGUGACGGCGUAUUUCUCCUUCACGCCUUCGACGUCGACCCCCCUCCCCCUGGUGCAAUGCUAUUUAAUCAGGCAGACCCGUUCUGGCCCACAAUACCAUUUCUCUUUUCUAAAAUCCAGGAAAUCAUUAUCUUUCGAAAGAUUCAAGGACGUUCGAGGAGUGACCAGAACCAUCGAAGACUUUGCUGAGCGAGGCAAGCAACCUACUUUGAUCAAGUUGAACCCAUAUUUGCAUCACACUUAGAAUUCUUUUUCAUGCAUAAAGUAUUGUUUACUAGUAUUGCUAUGUUAAGUAAAUUUGCUAGGGUUUAGCUAUGCCCCCUAUGUGCUUGAUAUUGACACCCCUUUGACAUUCUUAUGCUAAGUAAAUUACCUAGGGUUUAGCUAUGCUCUAUGUGCUUGAUAUUGACACCCUCCUUUGACAUUCUUAAUACCCCUCCUUUAUAACCAUGUAGUGGUCACAAAUAAAUGUGGGUCAUAUGUGCAAUUUUAAUAGUAAUGCUUAGCCAUGCUAGUCGCAUAAAUCAUAGGACUUGGGAAGAAUCUUUGUUACUCAUAAAUGUUUUACAAAAACCCAAGGGUGUCACUAAUGCCCAUGGGAUGAUUCUGAAAAUAAGGUUUUACAAAAUGAAGAUGAAGUGGAGAUUUAGUUAGGUGAUUGUGAUCUUGACGAGAUAAUCAAAGACAUUUGAUGGAUCAUGAAAAUUUAUGUCUAGUAAAUGAGCAUGGUGGUUAUUAUAUUGGCGAAUAAAUGGAUCUUCAAUAAACUUGAAGCAAUUUGGAUUUAGUUAGGCGAUUAUGAUCUUGAACCAAUUUUUAUGGUGGAUUAUGAGAUUUUGAUGCAUUUAUUUAGUUCAUUGUGAUCUCGAGGAGAAGUCAAAGAUGUUCGGUGGAUUAAUUAAUCUUGGACAAUUUGAAUUUAGUUAGGUGAUUGUGAUAUUGAACCGUAUUUUAUGAUGGAUUACGAGAUUUUUUGUGGAUUUAGUUAUGUGAUUUUAGGGGGAUUUAGUUACGUGAUUUAAUCUUAAGAAGAUAGUCUAAAAUGUUUGGUUGAUUAUGAGAGUUUAGGUAUGGUAGAGGAGCAUGGUGAUUUAUUGGUGGAUAAAUAGAUCUUUAAUUUUGUUUGGAACAUUUCGGGUUUGGUUAGGUGAUUGUGAUCUUAAACCAAAUUUCACGGUAGAUUAUGAGGUUUUGGUUCGAUUUAGAUAGGUGAUUGUGACCUUGACGAGCUAGUAAAAGAUGUUUGGUCAAUUAUGUGAAUUUAGGUCUAGUAGGUGAGCAUGGUGGUAAUUAUAUCGGUUAAGUAAGUAUUUUUUUAAUAAACUUGGAUUUAGAUAGGCGAUUGUGAUCUUGAACCAAAUUUCGUGGUGGAUUACGAGAUUUCGGUUAAGUAAGUAUUUUUUUUAAUAAACUUGGAUUUACAUAGGCGAUUGUGAUGUUGAACCAAAUUUCGUGGUGGAUUACGAGAUUUUAGAAGGAUUUGGUCAGUUGAUUGUGAUCUCGAGGAGAUACUCAAAGAUAUUAGAUCAGUUAAUUAACCCUGAACAAUUUGAAUUUAGUUAGGCUAUUGUGAUAUUGAACCGAAUCUCACGAUGAUUUAUGUGAUUUUAGGUGAAUUUAGUUAAGUUAUUAUGAUCUUGAGAAGAUGGUCAAAGAUAUUUGGUGGAUUUUAAGAUUUUAGGUCUAGUACGUGAGCAUGGGGUGACUAUUAUACUGGUGGAUAAAUAGACCUUUAAUUUAGAUUGAAACAAUUUGAAUUUAGUUAGAUGAUUGUGAUCUUUUAAGCAAAUUCACUGUGUUGAUGUUUGGGUUAGAUUUAGUUACGUGAUUGUGUCGUGACGAGGUAGUCAAAGAGGUUUGAUGGAUUAUGUGAGCAUUUAUGCCUAGUAAGUAAGUAUGGUGGUUAUUAUAUUAGUGGAUAAAUGAGUUUUUAGUAAACUUGAAGUAAUUUGGAUUUAGUUAGGCGAUUGUAAUCUCGAACCAAAUUUUAUGGUGAAUUACAAGAUUGUAAAUGGAUUUAACUAGUUGCUUGAGAUCUUGAGGGGAUAGUUCAAGAUGUUCAGUGGAUUAACUAAUCUUUUUUUUUGAACACAAUACAGACGCAACCGCUCAUAUAAACGCGCAUACACGCACACCCUAUCCCUAUGAGCACCUUGGAGAGACUGAACCGACAUACCAUCUUGAUAUUUUACGAAGUUACCGUAGAUGCCUCGUAGUCAACGGGAACAAUUUUGAUUUAGUUUGGUGAUUAUGAUAUUGAACCAAAUUUCUCGGUGAUUUAUUUGAUUUUAGGUUGAUUUAGUUAGGUGAUUGUGUCUUGAGAAGAUAGUCAAAAUAUUCAGUAGAUUAUGAGAUUUUAGGCAUGGUAAAUGAACAUGGUGAUUAUUAUAUUGGUAGAUAAACAUAUUUAAUUAGUUUGGAUCAGUUUGGAUUUAGGUAGGUGAUCGUGAUUUUUUAAUCAAAUUUUACGGUAGAUUAUGAGGUUUUGGUUGGAUUUAGUUAGAUGAUUGGGAUCUUGACGAGCUAGUAAAAGAUGUUUGGUAGAUUAUGUGAAAUUAGGUCUGGUAGGUGAGCAUGUUGGUUAUUAUAUCGGUGGAUAAAUGGAUUUUUGGUAAACUUGAAAAAAAAAUUGGAUUUAGUUAGGCGAUUAUGAUCCUGAACCAAAUUUUAUGGUCGAUUAUCAGAUUUUUGAUGGAUUAGUUAGUUGAUUGUAAUCUUGAGGAGAUAAUCAAAGAUAUUCGAUGUAUUAUUUAAUCUUGACCAAGUUGGAUUUAGUUACGUUAUUUUGAUAUUGAACUAAAUUUCUCUGUAAUUUAUGAGAUUUUAGUUGGAUUUUGGUUAGGUGAUUGUGUCUUGAGAAGAUAAUCAAAGUUGUUUGGUGGAUUAUUAUAUGUUAGAUCUAAUAAAUGAGCAUGGUGAUUAUUAUAUUGGUGGAUAAACAUAUAUUUAAUUUAGUUUGAAACAAUUUGGAUUUAGUUCGGUGAUUGUGAUCUUUUAACCUAAUUUACAGUGGAUUAUAAGGUUUGGGUUGGAUUUAGUUAGGGGAUUGUGAUUUUGACGAGCUAGUAAAAGAUGUUCGAUGAGUUAUGAAUUUAGGUCUAGUAGGUUAGCAUGUUGAUUAUUAUUUUGGUGGAUAGAGAUGAUGCCCACAUAAGUGACUCAAGGCGAUGAUGCCACUACGGAAAAUAACUGAUAAACAAGGCAAUAAAGGAGAGACUGGGGUAGUGGCAGCAGUUGGACUUUGAUCCAGCAUUCCACGUGCAUGUGCACUCUCUGUUCCCGCUGAUUCGGCUUGGUGUCCUUGUCUUGUUUGUGGAUUUUGUGUCACGCACUUGAUCAAGCACCCCACGUUCUCCUAAUGUGCGCCCUUGGCCUUGACGAUAGGUAGUGUCGUGUUCUCAGGCACGUCUCGUGGGUAAAAUUCAGGUAUGCGUCGAUUGUCUAAGCUCUUGCUCGCCAUUGGUGGUGCUUGAGCGUGCGGUUAUGGUGUCGCCCAGCAAGGAAACACGGGAUGUGGGAUCAAGACAGCACACAUGGUAAUCCGCCACCAGGCAAUGGACGCCCGUCCGAACUUAAGAGGGAGCGAAGGUGGACACAAAGGUGGAUGUUGAGCUCCAUAGCAGUCAACAUUGUGCUCAUCAGUAAGAGCAGCACGAGCAAGAAGAUCUUGGAUAUACUCCCCUUAGGAAAUAAAGAAGCCAUUACAGGUAGAAGAAACCUCAAUCUCAAGGAAGUUGUGACUUCUUUAGUAAAAAUGGAGCAAUUUGGAUUUAGUUAGGUGAUUGUGAUCUUGAACAAAUUUCAUGGUGAAUUACGAGAUUUUUCAAUGGAUUUAGUUGAUUGUGAUCCUGAGGAGAUAGUUAAAGUUGUUCGGUGUAUUAAUUAAUCUUGAACAAUAUGGAUUCAGUUGGGUGAUUGUGUCAUUGAACCAAAUUUCUCUGUGAUUUAUGAGAUUUUAGUUGGAUUUAGUUGGGUGAUGGUGUUUGAGAUCAUAAUCAAAGAUGUUUCGUGGAUCAUGAGAUUUUAGGUCUAGUAGAUAAGCAUGGUGAUUAUUAUAUUGGUGAAUAAAUAGAUAUUUAAUUUAGUUUGAACAAUCUGAAUUUAAUUAGGUGAUUGUGAUCUUUUAACCUAAUUUUACGGUGGAUUAUAAGCUUCUUGUUUGAUUUAGUUAGGUGAUUGUGAUUUUGACGAGCUAGUAAAAGAUGUUCGAUGAAUUUAGGUCUAGUAGGUGAGCAUGCUGAUUAUUAUAUUGGUGCAUAAAUGAGUCUAAUAAAUUUCGAACAAUUUUAAUUUAGUUAGGCUAUUGUGAUAUUGAACCGAAUUUCAAGGUGAUUUAUGUGAAUUUAGGUGGAUUUAGUUAAGUUAUUAUGAUCUUGAGAAGAUGGUCAAAUAUGUUUGGUGGAUUUGAAGAUUUUAGGUCUAGUACGUGAGCAUGGUGACUAUUAUACUGGUGGAUAAACAUACCUUUAAUUUAGUUUGAAACAGUUUCAUGGUGAAUUACGAGAUUUUAAAUGGUUUUAAUUAGUUGCUUGAGAUCUUAGAGAUAGUCCAAGAUGUUUGAUGGAUUAACUAAUCUUUUUUUUGAACACAGUCCAGACGCAAGCGCUCAUAUAAACGUGCUACACUCAUCCAUAUGAACGCACACACGCACACUCUACCCCUAUGAGCACCUUCGAGAGACUGAGCCGGCAUACCAUCUUGAUAUUUUACGAAGUUACCGUAGACACCUCGUAGUGGACGGGAACAAUUUGAAUUUAGUUCGGUAAUUGAGAUAUUGAACCAAAUUUCUCGGUGAUUUAUUUGAUUUUAGGUGGAUUCAGAAAGGUGAUUGUGUCUUGAGAAGAUAGUCAAAAUAUUCAGUGGAGUAUGAGAUUUUAGGUAUGGUAAAUGAACAUGGUGAUUAUUAUAUUGGUAGAUAAACAUAUAUUUAAUUUAGUUUGGAUUUAGGUAGGUGAUUGUGAUCUUUUAAUCAAAUUUUACGGUGGAUUAUGAGGUUUUGGUUGGAUUUAGUUAGGUGAUUGGGAUCUUGACGUGCUAGUAAAAGAUGUUUGGUAGAUUAUGUGAACUUAGGUCUGCUCAGUGAGGAUGUUGGUGGAUAAAUGGAUCUUUAGUAAACUUGAAAAAAUUGGAUUUAGUUAGGCGAUUGUGAUCCUGAAUCAAAUUUUGUGGUGGAUUAUCAGAUUUUUGAUGGAUUAGUUAGUUGAUUGUGAUCUUGAGGAGAUAGUCAAAGAUAUUCGAUGUAUUAAUUAAUCUUGACCAAUUUGGAUUUAGUUAGGUGAUUGUGAUAUUGAACUAAAUUUCUCUGUGAUUUAUGAGAUUUUAGUUGGAUUUAGUUAGGUGAUUGUGUCUUGAGAAGAUAAUCAAAGAUGUUUAAUGGAUUAUGAGAUUUUAGAUCUAAUAAAUGAGCAUGGUGAUUAUUAUAUUGGUGGAUAAACCAAUAUUUAAUUUAGAUGAAACAAUCUGAAUUUAGUUCGGUGAUUGUGAUCUUUUAACCUAAUUUUACGAUGGAUUAUAAGAUUUGGGUUGAAUUUAGUUAGGUGAUUGUGAUUUUAACGAGCUAGUAAAAGAUGUUCGAUGGACUAAGUGAAUUUAGGUCUAGUAGGUGAGCAUGUUGAUUAUUAUAUUGGUGGAUAGAGAUGAGGGCCACACAAGUGACUCAAGGUGACGAUGCCACUACUGAAAAUAACUGGUAAACAAGGCAACAGAGGAGAGACUGAGGGUAGUGGCAGCAGAUGGAUUUUGAUCUAGCAUCCCACGUGCCUGUGCACUCUUCGUUCCCCGCUGAUCCGGCUUGGUGUCCUUGUCCUGUUUGCGGAUUUUGUGUCACGCACUUGAUUAAGCAUCCCACGUUCUCCUAAUGUGCGCCCUUGGCCUUGACGAUAGGUAGCGCCGUGUUCUCGGGCACGUCCCGUGGGUAAAAUUCAGGUACGCGUCGAUUGUCUAAGCUCUUGCUCGCCAUUGGUGGUGCUUGAGCGUGCGGUUAUGGUGUCGCCCAGUAAGGGAACACGGGAUGUGGGAUCAAGACAGCACACAUGGCAAUCCGCCACCAGGCAACGGACGCCCGUCCGGACUUACAGGGAGCAAAGGUGGACACAAAGGUGGAUGUUGAGCUCCAUAGCAGUCUCAACAGUGUGCUCAUCAGUAAGAGCAGCACGAGCAAGAAGAUCCUGGAUAUACUCCUCUUAGGAAAUAAAGAAGCCAUUAGAGAUAGAAGAAACCUCAAUCUCAAGGAAGUUGUGACUUCUUUAGUAAACAUGGAGCAAUUUGGAUUUAGUUAGGCGAUUGUGAUCUUGAACAAAUUUCAUGGUGAAUUACGAGAUUUUUCAAUGGAUUUUGGAUUUAGUUAGGCGAUUGUGAUCUUGAACAAAUUUCAUGUUGAAUUAUGAGAUUUUCAAUGGAUUUAGUUGAUUGUGAUCCUGAAGAGAUAGUUAAAGAUGUUCGGUGUAUUAAUUAAUCUUGAACAAUAUGGAUUUAGUUGGUGAUUGUGUCAUUGAAUCAAAUUUUUCUGUGAUUUAUGAUAUUUUAGUUGGAUUUAGUUAGGUGAUCAUGUCUUGAGAUGAUAAUCAAAGAUGUUUCGUGGAUUAUGAGAUUUGAGGUCUAGUAGAUGAGCAUGGUGAUUAUUAUAUGGGUGGAUAAACAGAUAUUGAAUUUAGUUUGGAACAAUUUGAAUUUAGUCAGAUGAUUGUGAUCUUUUAACCUAAAUUUACGGUGGAUUACAAGGUUCUGGUUGGAUUUAGUUAGGUGAUUGUGAUUUUGACGAGCUAGUAAAAGAUGUUCGGUGAAUUAUGUGAAUGUAGGUCUAGUAGGUGAGCAUGUUGAUUGUUAUAUUGGUGCAUAAAUGAAUCUUUAAUAAAUUUAGAACAAUUUAGAUUUAGUUAGGCGAUUGUGACCUUGAACCAAAUUUUAUGGUGGAUUAUGAGAUUUUUGAUGGAUUAAUAGUUGAUCGUGAUCUUGAGAAGAUAGUCAAAGAUGUUUGGUGGAUUAAUUAAUCUUGAACAAUUUGGAUUUAGUUAGGUGGUUGAUCAACUCAAUCGAAUUUCACGCUAGAUUAUGAGAUUUUUGGUGGAUUUAGUUAGAUGAUUGUGUCUUGAGAAUAUAGUCAAAGAUGUUUGCUGGACUAUGAGAUUUUAGGUUUAGUAGAAGAGAAUGGUGAUUAUUAUAUUGGUUGAUAAACGGAUCUUUAAUUUAGUUUGGGACAAUUUUGAUUUGGUUACGUGAUUGCUAUUUUUCAACCAAUUUUAGGUAGAUUUUGAGGUUUUGUUGAUUUAUUUAGGUGACUGUGAUCUCGACGAGUUAGUCAAAGAUGUUUGGUGAAUUAUGUUAAUUUAGGUCUAGUAAUUAAUUGAGCAUGGUGGUUAUUACAUCGGUGGAUAAAUGGGCCUUUAGUAAACAUGGAGCAAUUUGGAUGUAGUUAGGUGAUUGUGAUCUUAAACAAAUUUCACGGUGGAUUACGAGAUUUUUAAUAGAUUUAGUUUGUAGAUUGUGAUCUGAAUAAUUUGAAUUUAGUUGGCUGAUUACGAUAUUGAACCAAAUUUCUCUGUGAUUUAUGAGAUUUUAGUUAGAUUUAGUUAGGUGAUUGUGUUUUGGGUUGAUAAUCAAAAAUGUUUUGUGGAUUAUGAGAUUUGAGGUUUAGUAGAUGAGCAUGGUGAUUACUAUAUUGAUGGAUGAACAGAUAUUUUAUUUAGUUUGAAACAAUUUGGAUUUAGUUAGGUGAUUGUGAUCUUUUGACCAAAUUUUACGGUGGAUUAUGAGGUUUUUGUUGGAUUUAGUUAGAUGAUUGCGAUCUUGAUGAGCUAGUAAAAGAUGUUCGGUAGAUUAUGCGAAUUUAGGUCUAGUAAGUGAGCUUGUUGGUUGUUAUAUUGGUGGAUAAAUAAUUUUGUAAUAAACUUGAUUUUUGGGAUUUAGUUAGGCGAUUGUGAUCUUGAACCAAAUUUUAUGUUGGAUUAUGAGAUUUUUAAUGGAUUAGUUACUUGAUUGUGAUCUUGAGGAGAUAGUCAGAGAUAUUCGGUCUAUUAAUUAAUCUGGAACAAUUUGAAUUUAGUUAGGUGAUUGUGAUAUUGAACCAAAUUUCUCUGUGAUUUAUGAGAUUUAAGUUGGAUUUAGUUAGGUGAUUGUGUCUUGAGAAGAUAGUCAAUGAUUUUUGGUGGACUGAGAUUUUAGGUCUAAUAGAUGAGCUUGGUAUUAUUAUAUUGGUGCAUAAACUGAUCUUUGAUAUAUUGGUGCAUAAAUGGAUCUUUAAUCAACCAAGGUUCCUUAUCUUGCUGUUUUUUAAAGUCAAACAACUGAUAAUGAAGUUUAUCAGUAUGUAGUAAUGGGUAUAAAUGUUUUCUCAUACUCAUGUAGUCCGUUCAUUCAUAAACUAUAUGUUCUUUUGUUAAAACCUUGAUUAAGAUGUUAGGGUAAAUAAAUUCCUUCAGAAUUAAUAAUAGAAAAGUUUUGCUUUGCAAUAAGAUACAGUUGUAUGCAAAAAAUAAUCUUGUCUUAUAUAGUUAUAUCAAAACUAUGGAUUUUCCAUGCACUUCCUGCAAUCAUUAAUGUUCAUUGUCUUUGUUGGGAUUUUGUUGGGCACCUGCGGCAACGCGCUGUCGGGCACGACGGACGCUGCCAAGGUCCGCGGCGACAUCGUGCUCACGGAGCCUGACCUCUGCAUGAUGAACUACACGUGGUAACAAUGCAGCAACAAAUCCAAUAGUAGCUUUGUUCUUCUGGCAUUAUUCAUGGUUCUCAUCAUAGCCAUACUGAAUGAUGGCAAGUGACAUCUCUGAAUUUAUCAUAUGAAUUAUGACUUUAUGAGCUUGCCUGGCUACUGACCUGCUGUGUGGGAAGGGCAUCCUUUUACCAGAGCUAUGGAUUUUAAUAUGCUCCGUUUCCUUCAGGUUUUCUGAAUAUACUCGCAAGUUGCAACCAUGGCCUUACAGUGCUACACGCCUCUUCUGAAGCCCCAACUGGCCCAAGUUUCAGUUAACCCUUCCAUUAACACGAUACAGAUUCCAGGGCCUUACAGAGUCAGUGCUCCGCCCCUCUGCUGAAGCCCUAACUGGCCCAAGUCUCGGCCAGCCCUUCUCUAAAUCGAUGCAGAUUGCAGUGUAUGUUCGAGGAGUAGCAGAUUUUACGGAUCUUUAUUUUUUUUGUGUCGUUGCUUCAUCAAAUGGAAAUUUAAGUACCGGGAGAUUCGUCAAAUGAAAAUUUAAACCAGUUUAUGAUUUGUUUGGCCAACGUACCUGGUGUCGAUGUGGAGGAAAAGACCUUAGCAGGACUAUUGACCGUCGCCUUGCAACUCAAUUUCUUGAGAAGUGUCUCGGCCUCAGACAUGACACUUGAGAAUUCAGAUUUUUUGUAGCGCAGAACCCAUUAGCUCCUAUCUUUGUGCUAGCUAAACUUGAAUUAUUUGUGUACUGAAUUUUUAUGUGCCUGUGGGGUCUUGCUUGAAUCUUUGUUAUGUCCUAAACACGACAGUUUCGGAGACCGCACUUGACCUCAUGAUCUGAUGGCUGUCCUGCCGAACUCUCUGCGCGCUCGAGCUCGAUCGCCGGCUAUCCUCUUGUGAGUUGUGAUGGCCCCUUCGAUGCAUACCCCCAAGGGUAACCCGACCGGCAUUCAACCGGGAGGAAGUGAGGUCGUUCAACUCUGGGCUACGCCUUGAAAAACAAUCUUCGGGCUAUGCGGGGCGGCGACCAUGGAUGGGGCUCCAGGUCGAGGAGACAGAAACAUGGCCCUCGGCAAACCAAAUCACGUCAGGCAAGCGCGCCGCCCGGCUUUGCCCUCACCGUCGGCCAUCCUGGCCUGCUGCCACUACAGCGCCACGGCACGUCACGUGCCUCCUGCUCCAUGAGACGCUUGCUGUUUUCUUCUUCUUUUCCUUCAACAGUGAUCACGUUUAAAUGAGUGUAGACAUUGUGCCGCGUCGCACCAGACAAAGAGGUGUACACUGCGGACGCGUCCGCAAGUUUUGACUGCUUGCUAUGGCUGGGGGCACAUGCGGACGUCCGCAUCUUCAUGUUUAGCUGAUUUGCGUAAUGCUAAAUACAAUUACAAGUUUUA